CGGAAAAUACGUUCAAGGCGAUAUUUUGUUUAUAAAGCAUAACGUUUAUCAGGAAAAGUGGACUAAUCCUUUAAUGUGAAGCUACACAGGAACAAUGACCAUGUGUUGCAGAUCACAGAAAUGACCCAUUUUGAGAGUCCAUGUGCACCAUCUGGUUACUAUAAACGUGGUUUGGUAUGGUCUUUGGUGUGUUUAAAAUAGUAUAUAGGGAGUGAGUUGUUUAUGAUGCUCAUAUAAGCCAAGAUUUAAAAAAAAAAAAAAAAAAAAAUUUUACUUGGUAUUACACUGUCAUAUUUAUUGAGAGUAUAUGUUUUCUUUUUUCAGACCUUCAGCUUUUAUGAGGAUGCAGACUACAAAGACAUGACUAACAUCUCUGAUCUGUUGUUUUAAAUGGCAUCAUUGAUAGAUUCUUGUACAGACAAUCUCAACCGAAUUAGUUAAGGCAUCCAGUUCAUCCAGCUAUCAUAACCACCAUCCUGUUAUAUAAUUAAAAACAGUUUGAAAUCAAGUGGUAAGGAGCUGCUACCAAACAAUAUUGGUAAUUCAUGCAAUGUGCUUAAAAAGUCAGGUAAGUUGUUUGGGUACUGGGGGGUUGGUGAUGAUUCUCCUUUUUCUUAUUUGUGAAAAAUCUGAUAAGAAAACUACUGUGGAUACUAUAACACUAAAUAAGGCAUAGAUUGUUUAUAGAUUUCCCAUUUUAUGGGCUGCCCACCAAACAGACACGUUCGUUUUAUGGAAUAAGUGUUGUCUAAUUGUGUAGCAAUAUAAUUUAGAAACCAUAUCAUAUGACCAUCUAGUAGCUCAAACCCUUUUAACUGAGUUAACCAUCAAAGGAGAUGUACAAUUUAGACAAACAUACAAUUCCAGGGUAAUAUUCACUAAAAAUUCAGCACUUAAUAAUAGAAUAUGUUCAAUUUGCUGUUAUACUUAAUCAUUUUCUCAAUGUAUUGUUCACAGAUUUGUUUUAAGUAAUCAUUCAAAGGAUCUGCUGAGAAUCUUUCUUAGGCCUGUGUAUUUUUGUAGAUACUAAUGCUAUAAUUUAAUCAGCAUAUCUGAGAUAAGUAUGAGAAGCACAGUGUUGUUUUUGUCAUACAUAUUUUUUUGGGGGAAAAAAGCAAACAAAGCCACUAUGUUAUGAGGACCAGAGCUAUGACAGCAUGUUUUUCUAUGAAAACAAGUUGGUAGAUCAUUUUUUCUCGCAGUGAAAUACAUGUGAGGCAACUGAUGAUAGUCAUGAGUUCUCUUAAUGUCUCACAGCUUGUGUACUGGAAGAGCUUUGGCUGUGUUGAGAAUACGCUACAAAGAUGCCUUUCGCCCCGGACAUCGAUUUGUGAGUAUAAUGGAGACAACUUUGUGCACAGUGUUCUUUGUGUAGGAGACUUACUUUAAUGCAACCAUGUGUCAGAAAUGCAGGAGCUGUUUUUUUCACAACUCUGAAAAACUGGGUAACCUUGAACAACCCUAUGAAAUUAUGAAUAGGAGUUCCAAGAAUCUUACCUUUUCUCAGGAACACAGUGCUAUUUACAGUAUACAGUCUUUAUUGUAAAGAUUGUGGACACAAAUUACGGGUGGAUGUCACUUUCUUUUCAAAUAACUCUUCAAGAUAUUAAAUUCUAAAAGGAUUUGCUGUGUUAGCAGAAAAUAUGCAAUUAAAGUGCUCGUUUUCAGUGGACAUCAUAAGAACUGAUAAGUUGAAAAUGUAAAGUGUAAUUUACUGCAUGUGCAUAUGCACACAAAUUCAUAAUGUUAAUAAAUUUGGAGUAUUCUCAAUGAGCGUCUGCAUGCACAUCCAGACUAUUUCCAUAAGGGUCUUCCACAACCUUUCCUUUACUUACAUAUAUGAUGAAAUAUGUAUUUAAAUAAAAUAUCUGCCUAUGUAUAAAAUUUUGUCUUAACACAUUCAUAAGGCCACCCAGAGUACACUGUAAAAAAUAACUGUUGGUUUACCUUAAAAAAG